rnacentral:rRNA from 1 species
GACGAACGCUGGCGGCGUGCUUAACACAUGCAAGUCGAACGGUAAGGCCCUUCGGGGUACACGAGUGGCGAACGGGUGAGUAACACGUGGGUGAUCUGCCCUGCACUUCGGGAUAAGCCUGGGAAACUGGGUCUAAUACCGGAUAGGACUCCGGACUGCAUGGUCUGGGGUGGAAAGCCUUUGCGGUGUGGGAUGGGCCCGCGGCCUAUUAGCUUGUUGGUGGGGUGAUGGCCUACCAAGGCGACGACGGGUAGCCGGCCUGAGAGGGUGACCGGCCACACUGGGACUGAGAUACGGCCCAGACUCCUACGGGAGGCAGCAGUGGGGAAUAUUGCACAAUGGGCGCAAGCCUGAUGCAGCGACGCCGCGUGAGGGAUGACGGCCUUCGGGUUGUAAACCUCUUUCAGCAUCGACGAAGCGAAAGUGACGGUAGGUGCAGAAGAAGGACCGGCCAACUACGUGCCAGCAGCCGCCGCUG